rnacentral:lncRNA from 1 species
AAUGGUAGAAAACAUGGAGAGACGCAUCAGUCAUUGGCAUUUUUGCUAAAAUUCAUUGAUAAAGGAGUAAGAAAUUGGAUAUCUUCUUUGAGAAUGGGAGGGUGUCGAAAGUUCUCCAGAGCUUUAGAGGUCUGGUUUGAUACAAGAAGCUAGUGAGGGGUUAAGUUGUUUUCUAAAUUCAGUUUACUCUUACACAAACUCUGAAACAAAGCCACACUUGUUGUAAAAAAGUUUUUUUUUU